GACGAACGCUGGCGGCGUGCUUAACACAUGCAAGUCGAACGGAAAGGCCCUGCUUUUGUGGGGUGCUCGAGUGGCGAACGGGUGAGUAACACGUGAGUAACCUGCCCUUGACUUUGGGAUAACUUCAGGAAACUGGGGCUAAUACCGGAUAGGAGCUCCUGCUGCAUGGUGGGGGUUGGAAAGUUUCGGCGGUUGGAGAUGGACUCGCGGCUUAUCAGCUUGUUGGUGGGGUAGUGGCUUACCAAGGCUUUGACGGGUAGCCGGCCUGAGAGGGUGACCGGCCACAUUGGGACUGAGAUACGGCCCAGACUCCUACGUGAGGCAGCAGUGGGGAAUAUUGCACGAUGGGCGGAAGCCUGAUGCAGCAACGCCGCGUGCGGGAUGACGGCCUUCGGGUUGUAAACCGCUUUCGCCUGUGACGAAGCGUGAGUGACGGUAAUGGGUAAAGAAGCACCGGCUAAAUACGUG
rnacentral:rRNA from 1 species